AAAUACUCCUUAGUGACCGAUAGCGCAUAGUACUGUGAAGGAAAGGUGAAAAGGACCCCGGGAGGGGAGUGAAAGAGACCCUGAAACCCUGUGUUUACAAGCUGUGGGACAUCUUUACAUGAUGAACCGCGUACUUUUUGUAGAACGGUCCGGCGAGUUGCGGAUGCCGGCAAGGUUAAGCACUUAAGGUGUGGAGCCGAAGGGAAACCAAGUCUGAAGAGGGCGCAUAUAGUCAGUAUCCGCAGACCCGAAACCGGGUGAUCUCCCCAUGUCCAGGUUGAAGUUGCCGUAAAAGGCAAUGGAGGACCGAACGCACAUCCGUUGAAAAGGGUGGCGAGGAGGUGUGGGUAGGGGAGAAAUUCCAAUCGAACCCGGAGAUAGCUGGUUCUCCUCGAAAUAGCUUUAGGGCUAGCCUCGUUUUAGUCUUAUGGAGGUAGAGCACUGAAUUUCCGCGGGGGCGUCAAAGCUUACCAAAGAAUAUCAAACUCCGAAUGCCAUGUAGAUGAUGAACGGGAGUCAGACUGCACGAGAUAAGUUGGGCAGUCAAAAGGGAAAGAGCCCAGACCGCCAGCCAAGGUCCCAAAGUGUGUGUUAAGUGGAAAAGGAUGUGGGAUCUCCAAGACAACUAGGAUGUUGGCUCAGAAGCAGCCACACAUUCAAAGAGUGCGUAACAGCUCACUAGUCGAGAGGUCCUGCGCCGAAAAUGUCCGGGGCUGAAACACAACACCGAAGCUGCGGAAUUGCGAAUGCAAUUGGUAGAGGAGCAUUCUUAAUACCGACGAAGCUGUACCGGAAGGAGCAGUGGAGGGAUAAGAAGAGAGAAUGCCGGAAUGAGUAGCGAGAGAGAGGUGGGAAUCCUCUCGGCCGAAUAUCCAAGGUUUCCAGAGUAAAGCUGAUCUGCUCUGGGUAAGUCGGGGCCUAAGGCGAGGUCAAGAGACGUAGCCGAUGGACAACAGGUUUAGAUUCCUGUACCGCAUAUAAACAGAACUGUGGGGACGCAUGGGGAGAGCAUGGGCCGGGAAUGGAAAUACCGGUGCAAGCGAAGGAGGUGUGCAGCCGGCAAAUCCGCUGCAUGAGCCGAAAGCGUGACGCGGAGCGAAAUGAAAGUAGCGAAGCAUGUGAGCCCUGUGCCGAGAAAAGCCGCUAUAGCUUUAUAUGUGCCCGUACCGUAAACCGACACAGGUGGAUGAGGAGAGAAUCCUAAGGCCGGCGGAAGAAGUAUUGUUAAGGAACUCGGCAAAAUGACCCCGUAACUUCGGGAGAAGGGGUGCCCACGGGAGUGGGCCGCAGAGAAUAGGCUCAAGCAACUGUUUAGCAAAAACACAGGUCUAUGCGAAACCGAAAGGUGAAGUAUAUGGGCUGACGCCUGCCCGGUGCUGGAAGGUUAAGAGGAGAGGUUAGCGCAAGCGAAGCUUUGAAUUUAAGCCCCAGUAAACGGCGGCCGUAACUAUAACGGUCCUAAGGUAGCGAAAUUCCUUGUCGGGUAAGUUCCGACCCGCACGAAAGGCGUAAUGAUUUGAGCACUGUCUCGACAAUACAUCCGGUGAAAUUGAAGUACCAGUGAAGAUGCUGGUUACCCGCGCCAGGACGGAAAGACCCCAUGG
rnacentral:rRNA from 1 species